rnacentral:lncRNA from 1 species
CAGAGAAGCACAUGGACCACAGUUUCUUCAGCCCCACAAAAAACACAGCCUCCCAAUUCAGAGAUACUACGAUGAAUCAAAUUAUCCUUGGUGGGUAAAAUAUUCAAGAGAGCGCGCCAGAUGAAUAUACGAACCUUUGGUGGUACUCGGGCUUUCCAAAUCUUCUUCCAGACCUGUUCACAAGCUACAAUGGGUCCUCCAUUCAUGUUGGUGUCGUCCCCGUCUUGCUGGAGCAAAACCCGACGAGCAACUUCAUUGCCGCUCCACACUGUGUACUGACCAUCUCUCUC